GACGAACGCUGGCGGCGUGCCUAACACAUGCAAGUCGAACGAGGUCCAUGCAGUGGCAACACUGCGGAAGACCUAGUGGCGAACGGGUGAGUAACACGUGAGGAACCUGCCCCGAAGACCGGGAUAACCCUCCGAAAGGAGAGCUAAUACCGGAUACCCCCACCGGAUCGCAUGAUCUGGUAAGGAAAUGGAUUCCGCUUCGGGAGGGCCUCGCGGCCUAUCAGCUAGUUGGUGGGGUAACGGCCUACCAAGGCAUCGACGGGUAGCUGGUCUGAGAGGACGAUCAGCCACACUGGGACUGAGGCACGGCCCAGACUCCUACGGGAGGCAGCAGGGGGGAAUCUUGCGCAAUGGGCGAAAGCCUGACGCAGCAACGCCGCGUGGGGGAUGAAGGCUCUCGGGUUGUAAACCCCUUUCAGCAGGGACGAAUCAAGACGGUACCUGCAGAAGAAGCCCCGGCUAACUACGUGCCAGCCGCCGCAGUAACAC
rnacentral:rRNA from 1 species